rnacentral:rRNA from 1 species
AGUGAACGCUGGCGGUAGGCCUAACACAUGCAAGUCGAACGGCAGCACAGUAAGAGCUUGCUCUUACGGGUGGCGAGUGGCGGACGGGUGAGGAAUACAUCGGAAUCUACUUUUUCGUGGGGAAUAACGUAGGGAAACUUACGCUAAUACCGCAUACGACCUACGGGUGAAAGCAGGGGAUCUUCGGACCUUGCGCGAUUGAAUGAGCCGAUGUCGGAUUAGCUAGUUGGCGGGGUAAAGGCCCACCAAGGCGACGAUCCGUAGCUGGUCUGAGAGGAUGAUCAGCGACACUGGAACUGAGACACGGUCCAGGCUCCUACGGGAGGCAGCAGUGGGGAAUAUUGGACAAAGGGCGCAAGCCUGAUCCAGCCAUACCGCGUGGGUGAAGAAGGCCUUCGGGUUGUAAAGCCCUUUUGUUGGGAAAGAAAAGCAGCAGGUUAAUACCCCGCUGUUCUGACGGUACCCAAAGAAUAAGCACCGGCUAACUUCGUG